rnacentral:rRNA from 1 species
UACAGAGGGGGCAAGCGUUAUUCGGAAUUAUUGGGCGUAAAGGGCGCGUAGGCGGCCUGACAAGUGGAAGGUGAAAUCCCUCGGCUUAACCGGGGAACUGCCUUCCAAACUGUUUUGCUUGAGUCCGGGAGAGGUCAGUGGAAUUCCCAGUGUAGCGGUGAAAUGCGUAGAUAUUGGGAGGAACACCAGUGGCGAAGGCGACUGACUGGACCGGUACUGACGCUGAGGCGCGAAAGCGUGGGGAGCAAACGGG